rnacentral:rRNA from 1 species
UACGUAGGGAGCAAGCGUUGUCCGGAAUCAUUGGGCGUAAAGCGCGCGUAGGCGGCCCCGUAAGUCCGCUGUGAAAGUCAAAGGCUCAACCUUUGAAAGCCGGUGGAUACUGUGGGGCUAGAGUCCGGAAGAGGCGAGUGGAAUUCCUGGUGUAGCGGUGAAAUGCGCAGAUAUCAGGAAGAACACCCGUGGCUAAGGCGGCUCUCUAGUACGGUACUGACGCUGAGACGCGAAAGCGUGGGGAGCGAACAGG